rnacentral:lncRNA from 1 species
GGAAGAAAACGUAUAGAGUGUCAUUUGUAAAUUGUUGUUACUAGAGAAACCUUACUUUAAUACAUAUAGUAGAUAGAUAAUAGAUUAUUUUCUUAGAGUACAAAAGCCAUAACAACAAGUGAAAAGAAAAGUAAACAUAAAAUCCAUUUAUUUGAUAUCACCGCAAUAACUAAAUGACAAUAGACAUAGAUCAUUUUGUUGAAGCUGUUGUUAAGAGUCCCACAUCGGUUAGGAGUUGGUCUGAUAAUUUGUUUAUAAGUGGGGGCAAUCCUCACUUCACAAGUCAGUUUUGUGGGGUUGUGUAGGUCCAACCAAGACGCAUCAUGCAUACACACCUAGAAUUAAGACAAAUUCCUCGGCAAUUAUCGCACUCUGGAUGCUUACAUUCGGCAUCACUAAUACAUUCACCUAAUUUAUGAAAAAGAAGAAUAAAUUAAAUUUGUUAAACGAAAAAUAAGAAUAAAUAUUGUUAAAACAAGAAAAAUAUUGUGUAUAAGUCGUGUUGAUUUGAAACCUCGUAAAAUAGGUAUUGGUUUGGAACCUGGGAGUGGCAUGUUUCUCAGGGUCUCAUGUGUGAUUCUUCCUGAUGUCAAUUUAAGUAGGUUAAUUUAGCUUGUUCAAAAAAUAUUGUGUAUAAACAACAACUUAAAAAAGAACAAUUGAAGGGUAAAAAAAUUGUUUACCGUCAACUUUGGUUGGAAUUACAAAUAGGAAAAUAAAUAGAAACAUUGUAUAAAUGAACUUAAUGAUAGCCAUAUAUUUCCCCUCUUUUUAUGUAACACACAGGACAGGUUAUUUUUCUUGUUGCAUAAUAGAACAAGAUUUGGUCAUUUUAUAGUGGGUAAAAAUCCUAAUGAUAUACGAAUAUUAUUGUCUCUUCAAUUAAUCAAUUUGUUGUUUGUCUCUUCAUCACCUUAGUAAGUAGGUCACGUAAACCAUUGUCCGAUUAUUAUUUUUAACAAAGUUUAAUUUGUUUUUAACCUUGCAUAAUUGGAAAGGGGGGAAUUGUUGGAGGGGAAUGAUGGAUGGUGCGAAUGCAUUGCAACAAAUAUCGACGAAAAGCAUUGAAAUACCGUGUUUGUAAUAAAUUGUUUUUUUUAACAAGCAAAAAUAGAUUAUAUUAACACUGCCAUAGCAAUCUUCACAGCACAAGAUGUACCGAAAAGACUACUAUAAAAGAUACAAGUUGUUCUAAAUAAUUACAAGAAGUGGUUAACCAAUGCCUAAACACGACAUGGGGCUCGACCACCACAAAUGACCACCAAACAUAAAAACAACCUUAUGUGCUUUCAACCACUAUAAUGAAUAGUAUUUUACUUUAUCUAAUAAUUGAUCAAUAGAAUUUUCUUUUUGUUGAAAAAUCCGAUGAUUUCUUUCAUUCCAUAUAACCCACGUCGUGAGUAACCGAAUAAGUUGUAGAAAGGAUCUCCGGGAUUUCAAUCCACCUGUAUAAUGUGAAAACUGAGCACAAUGAUUUAAAAUAUCACAAUGAUCAGCCCCAUCAAAGCCAAUCCAAGACCUCACUAAAGGCCAUAAAGAACCAAAGUAGCUGCAAGACAAAAAUAGAUGUCGUGCAUCUUCCAACAUGCCGCAACCUGAUACACAUAAACACGCCUGAAAAUCCAAAAUACCACGGGUUGCUAAGUUAGACUUAGUGGGAAAUCGAUCACGAAGCAACCGCCAAGCAAAAAUAGACACCUUAAUCGGAACAUGGUUAUGCCAAACCAAAUCGUCCCAAAGCAUAUCCUGCGGAAUCUCCUGAUUAGUGAGCAUAUCAUACACACCGCGAACCGAGUACCUAUUGACGGGAUCCGGUUGCCACUGCCACACAUCAUAAGAAAGAGGCUGCAAAGAAACAUUAGUAAGUAACAACCUACACUCCUCUAAAAGCUCCUCCUCCCACACCCACAAAGCCCUACGCGACUGCCACCCAUCACCUGUCGUCCCCCAACCAAGAGAAAACAUAUCUUUAACAGUUAUUGAUUUAUUCAACGCUAAACCAAACAAUCUGCUAAAUCGAAUCGGGAAAGGGACAUCACCACACCAACGAUCAUGCCAAAACAAAGUACCCUCACCAUCACCCACACGCCUAACCACACAACCCUCAAACCAGCCAUCACCGCCUCCACUGAUCCCAUCCCUAAUCCUACGAACCUCCAUCCACCAAAUAGAACCACUCCGGCCCCCAUCCUCCAACCUCCCAUCACGCACACCAUACCUAGCAACCAACACCUGAUACCAUAACCCUCUUCUAUCAACUAAUAAUCUCCGACACCAUUUCCCCAACAAUGCCUCAUUGAACUCUCGCAACUGCCUAACUCCUAACCCCCCGUACUCCUUUUUUAUAUGCAUAAUAUAUUUAAACAACUUUUUUAGUAAUAUAUCAUUAUCAUUUAACAAAAUACUCGAGAUUAUAAACACUAUAUUAUUAUAUAUAUUAGAAAAAUUAAAGACUUUUUAAUAUCUAGAAAUUAAAAUUGUUAUUUAUGUGUCUUUAUAUUCAAAAAGUAUGGAAGAAAUAAUUCAAAAUUUUAUUUCAAAUACAAAGACACAUUUAGGAUCAUGUGACACAUUUAAUUCUUAUAAAAUUAAUGUUAUAAACUCUUUUUAUAAGAUAGUUUUCUAUUUAAUAUAGGGGCAAUAUAUUAUUUUAAGAGGGAACAAUGAUUAAAAUACAAAGUAUUUAACAAGUAUAACAUGAUACUAGUCGGGAGAGUUGCCCCCAAUUUAAUAUAAGUAGAUAUGUCACUGCCUGCACACAGCCUUGGUAUCAUGACGAGAAGCAAUUUUAAUGCUCGUGAGAUAACUCACUCCCGGAACCUUCAUGGUCAGAGCCGUUCUUAAAAUUUUACAGGUCGUUGGCAUAAUAUGAGAAAAGGACCCCUUAUAUAAUAAAUCAUAAAUUUUUUUAGUUUAUUGUUGUGUUUUUUUAGGUCUUUAUUUUGUUUUUUUCUUUUCACUUUUCACUACGAGAUAAAUGUUUUUUAGACAACAUCUGAAAAUAAAUCAAAUACUUCAUAAACAUUAAAACAAAAUAAAAUAUCAUAGAAGUAGAGAACAAUAGCACCUGCAAAGUAAAUUGAAAUUUUAGCACCUAAGAAUAAUAACACCAAAAAACUUUACAUUACUAUAUGUAUAUCAUGAUCAAAAUGUGUCUCACAUCGGUUUCAUGACCAUGAAUAUACCUCGCAUGAUUUUACAUUACCUAAGACUACUUUACAAAGCCCAAAAGUUACUCAGAAGGCUGACCUCAUUUCCGCACCUCCUGAGGAAUGUUGAUUCUCCUAUACAAAUUGAAUGCGAAGUCUUCACACUCAAUCAUUGCUUCAUCAAAUAUUCUUUUAGAGAGGUCCAUAUCAUCAACGGUGUGAGCAUAGUGACCGAAUGUCCGUUAUAGUUCUCUAGCUGCCUUUUUGUUAUGGUUUUGAGGAUGUUCAUGGUAAUGUUUUAUUCUAGGUAGUUAAUAGAAAACUGGUUAGUUAUGUUAAAAGUACCCUAGCUAAUAUAUGUCUAAUCAUCUACAAUAGCUAGCUACUCUUAAGUUUAGGUAUUUCUUUUUUUCGAAGGGAAGUUUAGGUAUUUCUUACUAUUAAAGUUUUCUGAUGACUUUAUGUUUUUAAAACACUAACUUUAGGGUCUUCACAUCAGCUUCUGAUAAAUUUCAGAUUCUCGGUGAUCUUCAGACUCUAAUUUGCAACUUGACUUUUGUCCUUUCAUAAUCAAAACUUUGUUUUAAAACAUGUCAAUUUAGUCUAUGGUCCCGCAAAAACUUUAGCAAAUGGUCCCACACUUGAAUAAAUAUUAGAAUAUCCAAUUGAAACUUUAAUACUUUGUUCCAACACAAACCUCCACCGUAACCGUUUUCUAUUACGCGCUCCUCCACCAUAACCAUUCUUAGUUACAUGUUCCUCCACCGCAACGGUUGACAGUUACUGCUCCAUCUACUGAAGUAAUAGUUGGAACUCAUAUGAGAACCAUCGAUAACAAUAGAUGACGCCGCUUCCGUUCCCACAAAAUUUCGCAAAGGUGGUGGAAAACCUCCUGACUAUUACGAUAGUGGAAGUAGUGGUUCGAGGUAAACCGUUAGGCCUCCAUGGAGUGAAAGACUCUCCCCCACGCCAAAUCCAUCAAAGGAAGAAGGAUUACUCUCCAGAGCUCCAUCACAAGAUCCACCGCAAGAGUCCCAUCACCAGAAAUAUAAAGGAGUAUCCUAUCCCUCACGUUUUUUAAAAACUGCCUAAGUUGGAGACUUACAAUGGCAUCACGGAUCUUGAUGAACAUGUAGAGAACAUAGAUAGCGUCCUCGAUUACCAUCAGAAACGAGGAGCGGUGAAAUGAAAAUUGUUCAUGUUGACGUUGAGGGGCGCCGCCAUGACCUGGUUCAAGGGGCUGGAGCAUAAUUUUAUCAACUCCUAGAGAUAACUACACGACGAACUCGCCUCUCACUUCAUUGCGAGACAGGAGAAACCAAAAACCACGACCGCACUGAAGAAAGAAACCCUCGGGGGUACGUCGAGCAAUUCACACGUGCUGGCGUAGAUUUAAUGGCGCGCAAGACAACUUGAAAUGUUUUAUUUUCGAAAACAACCUCAGUGAUGAUUGUAAGUUUAAGGAAGGGAUGUAACUUAGAUCUUCAAAGGAUAUGAGCGACCUAUUAACCCGCGUUCAACCAUACAUCAAGUACUAAAAGAAGAGGUUGGCGGAAGAGGCAUAUAAAAAUAAGCAGUCAUGCAAGAACAACGACGAAAAACGACAUUUUUUGGGGAAGUUGUGGAGAAAUUUUUACUCAAUGUUGUGAGUGGCUUUGGACAGGUACCUUUCCCAAAUAUGACUAAUAUUGCUCUUAUUUUGAAAGGAGACUACCAAGUCGCAAUGAAUGAUUGAAGACAUAUUGCUUUGUGUAAUGUUGUUUAUAAUAUUGUUGCCAAAGUUUUAGCAAACCUGUUGAAAUUAGUAUUGGAUAAAUGCAUCUCAGAUAGUCAAUCAACUUUUCUUUCUGGGAGGUCUAUCUUAGAUAAUGCGAUGACUGCUAUUGAAAUAAUUCACUAAAUGAAAUCAAAGGUUAAAGGUAGAAAAGGGGAUGUUGCUUUAAAACUUGAUAUUAGCAAUGCUUUUUUUUUUACAAAAGCAAAAUUAACUAUUAUCAUUAAUUAACCAAUGUUCAAUACAAGAAGGAUAAGAAUAAUAAAUAUGGUGACUAGCCCAAGAAUAAGCCGCCCUAGCUAAAGCAUGAGCAACCAUGUUCGCUUGUCUGCUAACAAAAUUCACCUCGAAGUUGGAAUGUAAAGAUAACUGAUAAAUAAUACUAGAAACAAUAGCAUAGUGUUCUGAAUCACCAUGACCUAGAGACGAUAGAGCUUGCACUAGAGUAGCUGAGUCGGACUUGAAGACAACCCGGUCCCAUUUGUUCCCAUCAACAAAGUGAAUGGCAUCGAGUAAGGCUACUGCCUCCCCCUCCAAAACUGUCAUGUUUUCCCGCUGCCAUUUUGUUUGAGCCCGAAUAAGUUGCCCAUGGGAGUCUCUAACACAACACGAAAAAGAUGUAAUAUGGUUACGAUCGUGAAAUGCGGCAUCCACAUUGCACUUCAACCAUGUCUCGUGCGGUUUCUCCCAAACUGAGUUGUUAGUUGUUACCUUGCACUCUAUGUUUCCCGUGUUGCAUAGCCGGUGGUGAGUGUUGUUUAUGAACCUCCUGCCAUUGUUGCCAUGAAUCUAGUGAUGUCCUACCAAUACUUGUUGAAGUAUGAUGAUCGUCAUUCCAAAUAACAUCAUUACGUGCAGCCCAAAUUUGCCAAAGAAGUAAAGCCACCCGACCAGCAAUGUCUCGACUUUCAGAACAACAUAUGUCAAAGACAAAAUUUGCCAAACUGCUCAAAGUGCCAACUCGCGCUUGCAGCACGGUCGAAAGCCCUGCCCAAUACCAACACUCAUGCGCCACCAUAUAACCCACAAAAAUAUGUUAAUCAUCCUCAACAGCUCUAUCACACCAGGGAAAGAUCACCUCACAUUGUACAUGUCGUGAUUGUAGUCGGAGACGCGUUGGAACACACCCCCUGCAAAUCCUCCAUAACAAAUUACAUGCUUUAUGAGGGGAAUUUACCUUCCAUAUUCUAUGCCACUCUCCUUCAACAUGGAAUCGAUCAGUAUGUAACAACUCCAUCAUAGCCAAUUUAUAACCAGUUUUAAUAGCAUACCUCCCAUUACGUUCCAUCAUCCACACUAUUUUAUCAUUCUGAACUUCCGCAAACAGUGGGGUGUCGAGAAUAGGUUGCACCAUAUCAUCUGGAAACAAAGAUUCAAGCUUAUCAAUAUCCCAAACCCGUUCCUCGUCAACUAUCAAAUAAGACACACACAAACUAUGCAAAACUUGGAUUUGUGGGGAUUGAAUCCAGCUACCAUGAACACCUCGAACCCAUGGAUCAUUCAUCACGCUCACACGAAUUCCAAAUAUUCUGCCAAGCAAAGCUCGGGUUAUAUCCGAGUUUAGAACCCAAAAAUGAAGAAUGGGGAAAGUAGCUCGAUUUAAAGACUCUAUUAACCAGAGAUUAAAGUUUAGACAGAAAGCUCCACCCUUUCUUAGCUACCAUAGAGAUAUUAAAAGCUUUGAAAUUUUGAAAUCCCAUUCCACCAAAUUCUUUAGGGCAUGCCACGCGUUCCCAUGCCAUCCAUUUAAUCCCUCGGUUGUUACUCCUUCCUCCCCACCAAAACGCAUUGAUCAUCUUCUCAAUAUCAUCUAUAAUUGAAUUCGGCAGAAGAUAAAUACUCAUUAUGUAUGAAGGAAUAGAUUGUAACACAGAUUUGAUCAUAACUUCCUUGCUCGCCUUCGAUAAUGCCUGUCCCCUCCAAGCAUUUAUUCGUUUCCAGAUAUCAUCCUUGAUAAAAGAAAAAACUGACCUCUUAUCUCUACCAAUCAUCGAAGGUAAUCCCAUAUACUUGCUGGUACCCAUGACAUGUCGGACACCAAUAAUGCGUGUCAAAUCCUCCUACGUCGCCCCACUCAUAUUGCGAUUGAAAAACACAUCCGACUUUGAUAAGUUAAUUUCUUGUCCAGAUGCUGCCUCGUAAAUUUUAAGAAUAGUAAGUAAACAUUGUGCCUCCACCACAUUAACCCGGCAAAACAAGAAAUAAUCGUCUGCAAACAACAUAUGGGACACCACAGGUGCGCCGCGACAUACUUGUACCCCAUGAAUAUCACCUAUAUGAACUGCCUUAUGUAUUAGAGUCGAUAGGCCCUCAACCACCAAUAUGAAUAAAUAUGGUGAUAACGGAUCACAUUAACGCAACCCUCAGCCGGGUACAAUAGGUCCCACCCUAUCAAAGUUCAUAAGCACCGAAUAAGUAACAGAACUAACACACAUCAUCCACUAGAUCCAUUUCUCAUUGAACCCCAUUCUCAUAAGCACACCACGAAGAAACCCCCAAUCCACUCUAUCAUAAGCCUUGCUAAUGAUAUUAGAAAAACUUAUGACAUGAUUGAUUGGAGUUACCUUCGAGGGGUUAUGACAAAGAUGGGGCUUUCUUAUCGAUGGGUUAAAUGGAUUAUGAUGUGUGUUGAAACGGUGGAUUACUUUGUUCUUGUUAAUGGUAAUGCCACAAGUCAAAUCAUCCCAGGAAGAGGUUUAAUACAUGGAGACCAAUUAUCCAUAUAUUUGUUUAUUAUUUGUGCUGAAGGUCUUUCGCUUAUUCGAAAAGCUCAAGCGAGGGGUGAAAUCAAUGGUGUGAAAAAUUGUAAUAAUGCUCCAAUUAUAUCUCAACACUUAUUUGCUGAUAAUUGUUUCCUCUUUUUGAGAGCCAAUGUGGACCAAGCAAUUAAAAUGUGAGCCACUUUAUUUACCUAUGAGAGAGCUUCUGGUCAGACAGCGAGCCUCCAAAAUCAGAGAUUUUUUGUAGUAGAAAUGUUAUAACUACAUAUCAUAAUAAUAUUGCAAGCAUUUUGGACAUGCAUGCAGUUCUAGUUACUAACAAAUAUUUGGGGCUCCCUUAUACGAAAGGCAGGAGCAAAAAAUCAACUUUCAACUUUAUUAAAGAUAGAAUUUGGAAGAAGAUAAACUCAUGGAGUAGUAAAAAUCUUUCAAAAUCCAAUAGUGAAGUUCUCAUUAAAUUUGUGCUUCAAUCUACCCCUACCUAUUGUAUGUGUUUUUUUCACUUCCCAUGUCUCUCUUCAAUCUAGAUAUGUUAGGAAAACAGGGCUGAAGACUUAUGACAAAUCAUGAUUAGUUUGUAGCUAGACUUUACAUGGCCAGAUAUUAUCCUAUGUGCAAUUUCUUUGAGUCGACUUUAGGACAUAAGCCUAGCUUUUUAUGGCGAAUUAUACGUAAUUAUAAAUUUAUUCUCAAAGUUGGAAUCAGAUGGAGGAUAGGUGAUGAUGAUGAUAUCUCGGUUUGGUAUAACAAGUGGAUUGCAACUGAUGUUACACUUAUCCCACAUGUUGAUGGAGAUUUUUCUCUAGCUGAUCUAAGAGUCUAGGAUUGCAUGCUACAUGAACGCAAGGACUGGAAUCUACCUUUCUGGCAGUCAAUUUUUUUUAUCACCAGCUAGUUGAACAUAUAGUGAACACACCGCUCUACCCAUCAGUAACAGAAGAUCGACUCAUCUGAAAAAAAGAAAAUCAUGGCGAAUACUCUUUUCGUAGUGCAUACCGUUUUUGUGUGCAAGAAUUACUUGAUACAUUCCAUUUCAAGGUACAAGGGUCUUGGAAUCUAAUUUUGAAGCUCAGGAUUCCUCCAAAGGUAAAAAAAUUUAUGUGGCGAAUUUGUAGAAAUUGCUUACCAACUUGUGUACGUUUAAAAGAUAAAGGAGUCACAUGCUUUAUGAAUUGUACAUUGUGUACGGUGGGCAAUGAAGAUACACUUCAUUUAUUUUUUCAAUGUCCAAGUAGCUUAAAUGUUUUGAGCAUGCCUCCUUUCUUUUCUUUUAUUUCUAUUUUGCUACAACAAGAUACGGAUAGGAAGAAUACUAUGUUCAAAGCAUUACAAGAUUUAUCUAAGGACGAUACGACUUUAUUUUGUUGUGUGUUGUAGAGUAUCUGGAAAUAGAGAAACAACAAAGUGUGGAAUGAGGUAGUUGAUGCUCAAGUUUAUGUUGUCGAGAGAGUAAAAGUUAUGCUUCAUGAUUGGCAAGAUGCACGUUGGAUUUUUAAUACAUCUUGUGCACAACCGCGACAAGAAGGAAAUGUGAAAUGGAUCAAACCAGCUGAUUAGAGUGGGAAUAUGAGUUUGUAUAAGGGAUGAUACAUGCACUUUUGUUUUGGCAAAAACUGAAUGAUUUACUCCAGUUUGUGAGCUACAUGUUGGUGAAGAUCUUGGAUUGUUAUCAGCUUUAGAAUGAGUUCAUCACUUACACUUAGGACCUAUCGAUUUUGAGCUUGAUGCGAAAAAAGUGGUGGAUAGUUUUUCAUCUGCACAUCAGGAUGUUACAGAAUUUGGGAUGAUUAUCCAUAAUUGUAAAACUAUCUUUGAACAAUACUAUGUCAACUCUAGUGUUGAGUUUGUGAGGAGACAAACAAAUGAGGUAGCCCAUAGAUUAGCUAAGACGACCACAUCCUCAACUAGUAUCCAGAUUUUGAUAGAAACACUAGAUUGUAUUGAACACAUUUUAAGUAAUGAAAUGAUAUAAACUUCUUUCACUAAAAAACCAAUUGGAGGAAAGUUUAAUGUAUAAUAGAAUGAUAUUUGUAAAUUAUUGUAAUUAGAAAAACCUUACUUUAAUACAUCUAGUAUAUAUUGUAGAUUAUUGUCUAGUACAAAAGCCAUAAAGGUAACGGAAAAGAAAAGUAAAUAUAAAUCCAUUUAUUUGAUAUCACCGCAAUAACUAAAUGACAAUAGCCAUAGAUAGAUCUUUUUGCUAGUGCAAAAACUUAUUCAUCCAUAUAAAGUGUUUGUUGAAGCUAGUACUCAUAAAACCAGAGGCAUCAUAAGGGGCAUUGACACUCAAAACCAACACAUCGUUUAUUACAACCAGGACUGCACACCUCGUCCACACAAUCGGCAUCACGAACACAUUUACCAAAUCCUCCUUCAAAAGAAAAAAUAUAAAUUAGAUUUGUUAAACGAAAAAGAAGAAUAAAUAUUGUUAAAACAAGAAAAAAUAUUGGGUAAAAGUGGUAUUGAUUUGGGACCUGAGACUGUACUCCUUGUUGAGGGAUCAUGUGUGAUUCUCCCUAGUAUCAAUUUAGGUGGGUUAAUUUAACUUCAUCAGAAAAAGAAAAAAAAAUUGUGUAUAAAUAACAACUUAAAAAAGAACAAUUGAAGGGUAAGAAAAUUGUUUACCGUCAACUUUGGUUGGAACUACAAAUAGUAAAAUAAAUAGAAACAUUGUAUAAAUAAACUUAAUGAUAGCCAUAUAUAUCCCCUCUUUUUAUGUAACACACAGGACAAGUUAUUUUUC